ACUAAGGUGGCAGAGUAUGGUAAUUGCAAAAGGCCUAAGCCCUUUCAUCAGGGGUUCAAAUCCUCUCCUUAGUU
rnacentral:tRNA from 1 species